rnacentral:sRNA from 1 species
GCUCUGGCGGGUUCGACAGCCGCGACUGAGGGGAGCCAGAUGCUGUACUAGCGCCCCCGUCGUCCAUGACUACCGCUCAGGGCCGUGUGGAUGGAAUUUAAUUGAAAGUUUCCGGUGUUUUUCUGGGACGAAGGGACUGGAAGCUUCGGGCGCGCACGGGCUUGUUUCCGUGGUUGACUUGUUGGGAGCUUAAGUAUUGGAGACGCCAGAAUGGAAAGGUGAGGGUAGCUUGAGUAGGGAAUAGGAAAAAUGUAAAAAAAAAAAAAAAAAAAACCCGUGUAAAUACUAUCUUGGUGACGGUAGGAAUCGCCGCCUGGAGCAGAGGGAAAUGGGGCGAUUUAGCAAGCAAUUGCUGGCCGAUGCUGGAGAAUGGGAACAUUUGAGGUUCAAUUGAGCUUGGGACAGAGAAGAAGAAAGUUGCGGCUGGCAAAAAGUUGUGGGGAUUUGGCCACCAACGCCAAGAGUGCGAGAGCAAAAGGCUG